GUGGGGAAUUUUGGACAAUGGGCGCAAGCCUGAUCCAGCAAUGCCGCGUGCAGGAAGAAGGCCUUCGGGUUGUAAACUGCUUUUGUACGGAACGAAACGGUCCGGGUUAAUACCCUGGGCUAAUGACGGUACCGUAAGAAUAAGCACCGGCUAACUACGUGCCAGCAGCCGCGGUAAUACGUAGGGUGCGAGCGUUAAUCGGAAUUACUGGGCGUAAAGCGUGCGCAGGCGGUGCUGUAAGACAGGCGUGAAAUCCCCGGGCUCAACCUGGGAAUUGCGCUUGGGACUGCAGUGCUGGAGUGCGGCAGAGGGGGAUGGAAUUCCGCGUGUAGCAGUGAAAUGCGUAGAUAUGCGGAGGAACACCGAUGGCGAAGGCAAUCCCCUGGGCCUGCACUGACGCUCAUGCACGAAAGCGUGGGGAGCAAACAGGAUUAGAUACCCCUGUAGUCC
rnacentral:rRNA from 1 species